AUUGAACGCUGGCGGCAGGCCUAACACAUGCAAGUCGAACGAGUGGCGGACGGGUGAGUAAUGUCUGGGAAACUGCCUGAUGGAGGGGGAUAACUACUGGAAACAGGUGCUAAUACCGCAUACUGAUGGAUGGACCCGCGGUGCAUUAGCUAGUUGGUGGGGUAACGGCUCACCAAGGCGACGAUCCCUAGCUGGUCUGAGAGGAUGAUCAGUCACACUGGAACUGAGACACGGUCCAGACUCCUACGGGAGGCAGCAGUGGGGAAUAUUGGACAAUGGGCGAAAGCCUGAUCCAGCCAUGCCGCGUGUGUGAAGAAGGUCUUCGGAUUGUAAAGCACUUUAAGUUGGGAGGCGUUACCAACAGAAUAAGCACCGGCUAACUCCGUGCCAGCCGCCGCGGUAAUUC
rnacentral:rRNA from 1 species